AGAUUGAACGCUGGCGGCAGGCCUAACACAUGCAAGUCGAGCGGCAGCACGGGUACUUGUACCUGGUGGCGAGCGGCGGACGGGUGAGUAAUGCCUAGGAAUCUGCCUGAUAGUGGGGGAUAACGCUCGGAAACGGACGCUAAUACCGCAUACGUCCUACGGGAGAAAGCAGGGGACCUUCGGGCCUUGCGCUAUCAGAUGAGCCUAGGUCGGAUUAGCUAGUUGGUGGGUAAUGGCUCACCAAGGCGACGAUCCGUAACUGGUCUGAGAGGAUGAUCAGUCACACUGGAACUGAGACACGGUCCAGACUCCUACGGGAGGCAGCAGUGGGGAAUACUGGACAAUGGGCGAAAGCCUGAUCCAGCCAUGCCGCGUGUGUGAAGAAGGUCUUCGGAUUGUAAAGCACUUUAAGUGGAGAAGGCAGUUACCUAAUACGUAUCUGUUUGACGUUACGACAGAAUAAGCACCGGCUAACUCUAGUG
rnacentral:rRNA from 1 species